CUUUACUAUCAACUAUGGCCCAAUUUAUACAUGCAAGUCUCCGCACCCCUGUGAGAAUGCCCUCAAUCCUCUGCCCGAAGAUGAGGAGCAGGCAUCAGGCACAUAUAUCCCGCCCAAGACGCCUUGCUAUGCCACACCCCCAAGGGAACUCAGCAGUAAUAGACAUUAAGCAAUAAGUGAAAACUUGACUUAGUUAAGGCCAACAGGGUCGGUAAAAUUCGUGCCAGCCACCGCGGUUAUACGAAAGACCCCAGCUGAUACAUGCGGCGUAAAGGGUGGUUAAGGAAAAUUAAUAAUAAAGCUAAAGACUCCCUAAGCUGUUAUACGCACCCCGAGAGCACGAAAUCCAAACACGAAAGUAGCUUUAACUAUAAAUAACCUGACCCCACGAAAGCUAAGAAACAAACUGGGAUUAGAUACCCCACUAUGCUUAGCCAUAAACCCAGAUGCAAUUAUUACACAUACAUCCGCCAGGGUACUACGAGCAUAGCUUGAAACCCAAAGGACUUGGCGGUAUCUCAGACCCACCUAGAGGAGCCUGUUCUAUAACCGAUAACCCCCGUUAAACCUCACCACUUCUUGUCCACUCCCGCCUAUAUACCGCCGUCGUCAGUUUACCCUGUAAAGGACUAAUAGUAAACAAAAUGGGCUCACCCAAAAACGUCAGGUCGAGGUGUAGCGAAUGAAGUGGGAAGAAAUGGGCUACAUUUUCUACAUCAGAAUAAUACGAACGGCACCCUGAAAUAUAGUGCCCAAAGGUGGAUUUAGUAGUAAAAAGUAAAUAGAGCGUAUUUUUGAAUUAGGCUCUGAGACGCGCACACACCGCCCGUCACUCUCCCCACAUAAAAAUAAACGAAUAAAUAAUAACCUACAAUAAGCCCGGGGAGGCAAGUCGUAACAUGGUAAGUGUACCGGAAGGUGCACUUGGAUCAAC
rnacentral:ncRNA from 1 species